rnacentral:misc_RNA from 1 species
GAUGAGAACGUAGCGAAAUGCGAUAAGUAAUGCGAAUUGCAGAAUUCAGUGAGUCAUCGAAUCUUUGAACGCACAUUGCGCCCUGUGGUAUUCCGCAGGGCAUGCCUGUUCGAGCGUCAUUUCAACCCUCAAGCCCCGCUUGGUGUUGGGCCCCGCCCGCUGUGGCCGGCCCUAAAGACAGUGGCGGCGCCGCCUGGCCCUCAGCGUAGUACAUCUCUCGCUCCAGGGUCCGGUGGCCGCCUGCCAGAACCCCCCAACUCUGUGGUUGACCUCGGAUCAGGUAGGGAUACCCGCUGAACUUAAGCAUAUCAAUAAGCGGAGGA